UACAGAGGGGGCAAGCGUUGUUCGGAAUUACUGGGCGUAAAGGGCGCGUAGGCGGCCUUCUAAGUCGAACGUGAAAUCCCCGGGCUCAACCCGGGAACUGCGUCCGAGACUGAAAGGCUUGAAUCCGGGAGAGAGAUGUGGAAUUCCAGGUGUAGCGGUGAAAUGCGUAGAUAUCUGGAGGAACAUCGGUGGCGAAGGCGGCAUCCUGGACCGGUAUUGACGCUGAGGCGCGAAAGCCAGGGGAGCAAACGGG
rnacentral:rRNA from 1 species